rnacentral:rRNA from 1 species
GACGAACGCUGGCGGCGUGCUUAACACAUGCAAGUCGAACGGUGAAGCGCCUUCCUUUUUGGUGGGUGGGGAUGAGCGGCGAACGGGUGAGUAACACGUUAGUAACCUGCCCCCUUCUACUGGAUAACCGCAUGAAAGUGUGGCCAAUACGGGUUAUUCUGGGACUGUCGCAUGAUGGGACUGGGCGAGAUCUUGUUUCGGUGGGGGAGGGGCUCGCGGCCUAUCAGGUUGGUGGUGGGGAGGUGGCCUACCGAGGCGGUGACGGGUGGCCGGCCAGGGAGGGUCGGCGAUCACGGUGGGGCGGAGCCGCCGCGCAGACUCCUGCGGGAGGCAGCGGGGAGUAAUAGUGCACGGUGGGCGGAAUGCUGAUGCCGCGCCGCCGCGUGGGGGAUGGUCGCCUUCGGGUUGUGAACCUCUUUCGCCAGUGAAGCAGGCCUGCCUAGUUUGUGGGUGGGUUGACGGUAGCUGGAGAAGAAGCGCCGGCUAACUACGUG